rnacentral:lncRNA from 1 species
AACUGAGGGACUGGUCCACCUGUAACAGCUGGUAACUCACCAGCCCAAAAGGUGUAGGGUUCCUUAAGCCAGGGUCUCGCUCGGAUCUUGUAUCUUCACAUCGCCUCUAAGUAGUAACUCUGUUAACGGCUGUUUGUUCAGAAAGUUGGAAAUACAAAACGAAGGAGUCAGCGGGGCUGCAUUCCUUCUGAAGACCUGAGGAGAAUCCUUUUGAUGAAUGCUAGCUAUAUGCAAAAUCUUGGAUUUGCGUAUGACUUCAAGAACAUCUACCAGCACUGUAUGAGAGAGAAAAAGCCAGCCUCCUCAAAUAACUUGGCUUAAACAAGCUAUUUAUGGGAAAGAAGUCUCUGGGAAACUUGAUUUUUCCAUAUUCUAUAACUCAAGUAUGUGCUGUCUUCAGAGAUAAGGCCUCACUGUUAAGUUCUGAAGAGUUACUGAGAGAAGUGACAAUGGCUCAUAAUAUUUAGAGGUUUGGGAGACCUCCCUGCUCAGCAGCUCCAAAAGAAGUAACCCAUCCUGGACUGGGGGGGUUUUAUUUAUAAGGGUUUCCUGUAUUUUAGUGACUAAAAUCUAAGUUGCAUGGCAAAAGCUGAUGUCAUGGGCAGGAAUGACACUUGUUCCACAUGGAAAAACACUAAAUAUGUUCAACAAUAAUCUAAUAUAACCUGUCACUCUCCUAUUAUAACACUACCUUUUACAUUAUUCUCUUUGCUACAUAAAAUAUUCUCUACUCAUAAAACUAAAAAAAUGGGAGUGAACAAAUAUCUAAUAAACAUUUGAAGAGUGACAAAUG